GACACUGAACAUUGAGCCUUGAUGUGUAGGAUAGGUGGGAGGCUUUGAAGCGUGGACGCCAGUCUGCGUGGAGCCAACCUUGAAAUACCACCCUUUAAUGUUUGAUGUUCUAACGUUGGCCCCUGACCGGGGUUGCGGACAGUGUCUGGUGGGUAGUUUGACUGGGGCGGUCUCCUCCCAAAGCGUAACGGAGGAGCACGAAGGUUAGCUAAUCCUGGUCGGACAUCAGGAGGUUAGUGCAAUGGCAUA
rnacentral:rRNA from 1 species